GGAGAGAACGACACACUGCGUACUGAACACUGAUGGCCUGACAGAGUCUGGAAGAGAGUGGGAAGAGAGAAAGAAGAGAAAGAUAUACAGAAAGAAUAAGUUCUCCUGUUUGAUCCAGUCCCACACCCGCACUGCUCCGUCCCAGCAGCCCACCGCCACCAGACUCCCCUCAGGGUCAAAGGUCACACAGUUCAGAGG